rnacentral:misc_RNA from 1 species
AAGUCGUAACAAGGUUUCCGUAGGUGAACCUGCGGAAGGAUCAUUAUUGAAUGAACUUGGUAUGAUUGUUGCUGGUCCUUUUGGGAUAUGUGCACAUCUGCCAUCUUUAUAUCUCCACCUGUGCACACAUUGUAGGUCUGGAAUAACUAUCUGGGGUAACUCAGUUGUUGGAAUUGCUGCUGGAAAGUUGCUUUUCUUGUGUUUCCAGAUCUAUGUUUUCAUAUACACCAUAAGAAUGUAACAGAAUGUAUUAAUGGGUCUUGUACCUAUAAACUAUAUACAACUUUCAGCAACGGAUCUCUUGGCUCUC